GCGGGGCCUGACCGCCGGUCUGAUCAGACGUGUUUAGUCUGAGCUCCUGCUUCUGAGCUGAAAAAUCGGAGCCAACUGCGGGCCACAAGCAGACACCGACCUGAAAAUAUGAUGACAGCAUUGAUCAGGCGAUGGGGUUUCCGGGGAUACCUGAAAAGACUCCCUACGGCACCAAAGUAACCCGGUAGAGGCCUGAGGCCUACCAGCUUGAGCCUGGGUGAGACGGCCGCUCGCCCGGUUCUUCGACCGGCGCUCUGCCACCUCCCCCCCUCUGGACCGGGGGGGUCAUCCCGGUCUCCACGGCUACCACCACUGCAUGCCAAAACAUCUCCACCCCUGCCUAGCCGAGCAUUGCGGUCCAGUCAGCGUGCCCCAAGAUGGCCGACCAGCACCUAACCCACGCACAAUGGCGGGGACACAGAGAAGCGCACAAGCGACCUGACACUCUCCCACGGCUGGAGGCCGCGUCUGGAGGUCGCUGGCGAAAUGGCACACGCAUCCCCGGCUGCACGACUCCCAUCAUGGCGGCGGAGUGGAAGGAGAUCAGUGCCGAGCCUCAAAAUGGCGUUGGAGGGACUCACACUCAGCACCAACAGCCCAGCAGGGCAGGCAUCGGCUGACCACGGAAGACCCCACAAGCUGAGGCCCAGACAACUCUCCCAGGCCCUGAAGUGGAUUUCUGAGCAACAGCACUGACUCUCUGGGCAUCGGGCUAUAUUGCCUCACAGACUCCUCUCUCUCUCUAUAAAACCGCAUAUGCUGUUGGCGAACUGAGUGGGAAGCGUAAGCUCAAGUGAAGUCCUACUCACACCCGGAUCUGCCAGGCAAAACAAAUAGUUUAACGUUAAUUUAACACUGUUUCUCUUUUUCCUUAACAUGCUACAUAGGCAAGUAACUUACAACACUAGCCUGCUUCACAUAAGUUAGCGACACUUUACUAUACCUCACUCACCAUGCCUAGCUAGCCUCCCUGAGUUAACUUAAAUGUAUAUUCCAACUAGGACAUGUGGAACUAGCCUGCUCCCUCUCGAGAUUUAACUUAAUUUUACUCCACUGUCGUCUAGCUUAGCGCACUUAUAACUACAUUUACAGCAUAACCAUGUGUAGCCAGAAUCUAGGAAGGGAGUGUUUAACCCAGUCUACCCCAGUUACAUACUGCCUAGCUUGAUUGUUACCCCCAUUAUCAACGAAGUUAUUCUAUGUUAUGGAAGAGACUAAGUAAUGAUAAUACAUACUGUUUAUUAUCUGACGUAAUCAUAUAUAUGUAUAAAAAUGUGCUAGCCUUAACAAGUACCUCUAUGCCCUACUGUUUGAAAUGCGCUAGAGGAUUGCCUUUGGGGUACCUCACAAGCGACUGUUAAAAACUUACGCACUACAAAAAUAAAGAAUUUAAAAAAAAA